rnacentral:tRNA from 1 species
CCGUAGCUCAGUAGCAGAGCAUCUACUUUUCAUGCAGAAGGUACCUGGUUCAAUCUCCAGUUAAAAGGA